rnacentral:rRNA from 1 species
AGCGAACGCUGGCGGCAGGCCUAAUACAUGCAAGUCGAGCGGGUCCUUCGGGAUUAGCGGCGGACGGGUGAGUAACGCGUGGGAACGUGCCCUUUGGUACGGGAACAACUGAGGGAAACUUCAGCUAAUACCGUAUGUGCCCUUCGGGGAAAGAUUUAUCGCCAUUGGAGCGGCCCGCGUUGGAUUAGGUAGUUGGUGAGGUAAAGGCUCACCAAGCCUACGAUCCAUAGCUGGUCUGAGAGGAUGACCAGCCACACUGGGACUGAGACACGGCCCAGACUCCUACGGGAGGCAGCAGUAGGGAUCUUGCGCAAUGGGCGAAAGCCUGACGCAGCCAUGCCGCGUGAAUGAUGAAGGUCUUAGGAUUGUAAAAUUCUUUCACCGGGGACGAUAAUGACGG